GAAAUAGACUACGGGUAAAUAGAAUACGGUCAUUAAUACAUCCAUAUUAGAUAUGGGUGGACAAAAUUAAAACCAACUUAAAUGUUUAAUUCAAUAAAAUAUUGAAAUAUUGGGCCUGACAUUACGAACCUGCCGGAGACGCAAAAAAGUUUAUUUCUCAUCCGUGUUUAUUUAUUUUUAGAAUAAAAUCUUAUUACACCCAAUAUUUAGCCUUAAAUUAAAACAGCUCCAUACGUACGCCCUGUCACCGCCAUCGCCACCGCCACCGACGCCGAUACUCCCACCACCACCACUAACUGUUGCCGCCAUCAGUAAGUUUUGAUUUUACGUUCAAGGUGUUGCACUGAUGCUUAAUCCUUGAUUGAAUAAAGGAAUUUAAAUUUGAAACUCGGUGGUGAAAUUUCUCCCGCCAUUGGAGACUUGAGGAAUACACAUUUGUGUAUGUGUUUCGCAUCAGUAGAUGAAUGUAAUGAACAAAGGUUUCAUAGCAGAAACGUCAACAGUAGAUAAAGGUAAUGAACGAAGCGAGGGUUUAGAAAAAGAGUCUCAAGAUUCUCUCUUAAACUUCUUUCUAUGUCUGCCUUCGCUCUCCGUAGAAAAUUCAGAAGAGCCGCCACAUAUCUCAAGCACACGGUACCAUCUCUCUCUCUCCCUCUCUCUCACAUGGUUAAAGAUACUGAAUCUUUUGGGGGAACUGCUUGUUUCUUGGUUUUCUGCAUUUGUGUGCAUGCCUACAACAUGUUCGCGGAAAUGUUUAACAGGUUGUGGUGAACACAUGGCAGACCAUUGAAAGAAGAAUACACGUCGACUCUACUCUUUGUGAUGGUACUCCGGGGACCGCUUUCUUGCUCUUGAAAUUUUUUCCAGUGACUGGCAACAAGAAUGAUCUGAACACCUCUUCUUGCAUUAUUUCAGUUUUAGACUUUGUUAUUGGUCAUGAUGUUGCAGGCAUGCUUUUCACCUCUAUUUGAUGCAAGUUCCUUUCUGAUCCUUUACAUAGUAAUGUUUGUAUACUUUUGUAGUGUCAUGGUACAACUAAUGCUUGUGCUUGCUCCAACUGCAUGCAUAUUAUCCGAAAUUGCUCUUUCUGAAGGCUUUGAUGUUUUCGCAAGAUCAAAUAAAUUCUAUGUAUCUAGUUUAUUUGAAAAUACCCAAAAUGAAGUUGGGGAUAGAGUAUUCAGCUCUUUAAAUUGUGCUCACUUCUCAUCCACGUGAAGGUCUUCAUGUUUUUGAUGAUUUCAGAGAGGCUUACACAUGGUUAAGCCAUAACACUGAAGUAGAUGAUAAAGUGUCGUGGGAUACUCUAGUGAUGAUAUAAAAAAGUUCCUAUGGAUGGGUGUGUAUAGGAGGAGGCAUCUUCCCACAUAUCAAGGAGCCUGAUUAUCUUGUCAAUACCAAAUUGGUUCACAGACGACUCCAACCAUGCUAAACCCCCUUAUGUACAAACUAUCAUAUUUCAAAUUUGUGGAGACUGAUGGUGGUAGAGGAUAUGAUAAAGUUAGGAAAAGUGUAAUAGGAAAAAAGCAUUUCAAAUUGACUCAUUUUAUUCCUGCAUUUGAAUAUAUUUUUCAUCUGCCUAAUGGAUGCCUCUGUUAACAAUAUGUACUUCCAUUGGUUUAGUUAUAUAUACAUAUAAUACGGUUCUAAAUGGGUGUAUUAUAUGUGGGAGGAGAUUAUAUAUGGAAUAUAAUACG